GGCGUCAUUAUGUAAUGGAUCGGGCACGCGCUUCUGGAAAGAGUGAGGCGCGGGUUCUAGUCCCGCCUGACGCCA